CAGUCGCCGCGGUAAUACGGAGGGAGCUAGCGUUGUUCGGAAUUACUGGGCGUAAAGCGCGCGUAGGCGGUUACUCAAGUCAGAGGUGAAAGCCCGGGGCUCAACCCCGGAAUUGCCUUUGAGACUGCAUCGCUUGAAUCCAGGAGAGGUGAGUGGAAUUCCGAGUGUAGAGGUGAAAUUCGUAGAUAUUCGGAAGAACACCAGUGGCGAAGGCGGCUCACUGGACUGGUAUUGACGCUGAGGUGCGAAAGCGUGGGGAGCAAACAGGAUUAGAGACCCCAGUAGUCCCUGUCUCUUAUAC
rnacentral:rRNA from 1 species